GGGAAUGCAACAAUUGAGAGCCUCAGUCAGCCAGCACUACAGAAUAACUUGGCCAUUACAGUGCUGUUUAUGAAAGCAAACCACCUUGAGAAACGAGUCCUUUUAUUUUUUGACUGGCUGGAGCUUAUGAUCUUCGUCUUUUCUGGUGAAUAACGUCUGCCUUCCAGCAUUGCAAUAGCAGAAAUAAGGAUUUUAUGUUCUAGCCCAUACUGUUCACCUCCACUGCAAUUCAGGCUGCAAAGUUAUUUCCAUUCUGAACUUCGGUUCCCAUUUUUCUUUUAAGUUUUUGCAAAACUUCUUUGGGGAGAAAGUCUCUUCCAAGGCAUUUAAGCCAAGUAAUAGCUUUAACAGUUUUUGCAUUAUGAAGGCUGACAAGAUAUACUAUCUCCUAAAGCUAAGACUGUUUUUUCAAGCAGAAAACUGCAAGAAAUAACUGCAAAUGAGACUUAUGCUAAAAUAUGGAUAAAACUCGGAAGUUAAAACUUCCUGUGAAAUUAGUACUUGCUGCAGAGCACAGCCUUUGUUCUGUCUGAAAUAUUUGGUGUUUUAAAUUUGCAAACUAAUGACAAUUUUAGAGCUCAUGGAGUAAAUCUUAGGUCUUCCAGGACACUUGAGAAAUAAUACCUCUUAUAGAGUGUUCUUAAUCGAUAACUCUGAAGGCAUUUCAUGCUGAUCAGAGUAAGGGCUAACCAGAUAUAGGUUCUUAAAAAAAAUUCAGGGUUUUUCCAUGCUGAAGUAGAAGCAAAUUUCCAGCCUUCCAAAAGUUCUAAUAAAAACCAGGAGACUGUUAGCAUACCAUAUGUUAAGCAUAUCCAAGCUGAAGGGGAUUUGCCUUCAAGCCCAGAGUAGGCCUUGCAUUUAAAUGUGACCUUACUACUGUGUUGCUUGCAGUCAUUUUGCUCCUGUGGUGGGAGAUGUUCACACUGACAGGGAUGAGCCGUGAGAUGAGUUUGUGGCUGAGCAGCUGGCUGGAAGAUGGAAACAGCCAAACUUCCGAAUCCCUCUCUUGGUUCAUGCAGGUUUGGUUUGAGUCUGCCGUCUUCUGUAAGAGGAUAUGCUGCCCUUUCAUCUGUUCCAGUGACGUGGUGAAGGGCAGGGGAUCUUCACCUAUUUCUCCUUUGUGAAUUACAACUCAUACCAGCUGCCUUACAUGGAGCACUAAGAUGCUGUUUUCCAUUUACUCCUCCCCAUCUGAGGCAGAGCACUCUCUCUGAUGAUAUGGGACAUCUCCCACUGGACCAGAGACACUUGCCUGCCGCACAGAAAUUCUUAUGACAGAUAUAUUCCUAGGGAAGCCUUGUUUUCUUAUAUCACAGUUUUACAGCCAGAAAAAAAUAUUUUAUCAACAUGCCAACCUCCAAGUCAGCAUCAUAGCAUCAUCUUCUCAGAGAGGAAAGACAAGAUAUCUGUGGCAGAGCUGGGUGUAAGACAUAAGCUUCCAGUGUUAUGCACAUUCAGCACUUUGCCUUAGACUUGGCUGUGGAGAACAACUGCAGUAUUAACAGCAGUGAGUGCUUUCAGAUACAGUGCUGUGAAUCUGGAUGACUACAUGAAUUUAAGUGUCAGGGGGCUGCAAUUACAUCAGGGUAACCCAGUCAGAAUUUGGUUAGCAUUGUGUGGAGCAAUUUUGUGUCUCUGUAGGCUGUGGCCAAAUCACAUGCGGGAGUUGUGUUUAGAUAAAGUAAUAGUUGUGUAGGCAAAGCAAAUACUCGAAUGUGAAAGGGAUCCAGUGUAGUGGGAUCACUUUGUCCUGAGCCUGCUUCUGCUGAGACCUGGGAGAGGGUCAGCUCCCCCAUGCCAAUCCACUCCUACACCAGCUCAGUUUAAAAGCUCCUGGAGACAGCAAGAGGCUAUUGUCCAGCUGGAAGACUAUAGUGGGCCACCUAUCUUCUUCCAAGAAAAUGGCUUUUACAGCUUACCUAUGGUGUCAGGAGCUGAAGGAAAUAAUGUAGGACAUCCCUAAGCUUUCGUGCCUUGGAUAUUGUUUGUACUCUUGGAUGAGGAAUUCUCCCUUCUUCCCAAAACAUGUCCUCUGGCAGCACUCCAGAGGGCAUAAGGAGCCAGUGCUCUUGGUCACCCUUUCAGAAGGACAUGUGCAUCCUUGCCCAGCUGAGAGGAGGAUGGUGGAUCCAGCAGGAGAAAUCUCUGUCUGAGGCUAUUCCACUUUUACUCAGGCCCAAGCAGAGAGGUGACCCUGGCAUACUGGUGGUAGGCAGGGGGGCAGCUGCAAUGCCCUGGUGCUCUGUGCACCCCGAGAGAUCCAGCAGCUUAGAGAGCUGAGGAAUUGGCCGGAACAGCUGCCUGGGCUCUCCUCAGCCACCCAGGAAAAACUCGAGACUAUGGCAGGGGCAGAAGAAGCCCUGCCUGAACAGCAAGGGGUAAGAUCUCCCUAUCCCUAAACCACUGUGACUUGGUAAUGUGCUCUCUGCUUCCUUAUACCACCAAAGGGCUGUCACCAAAACAGACACACUUGGCUGGCUGCUGGAAGUAAAUCUGGGCAGAGAAGAGCAAGGAGCACCAUAUUCCCCCCUAAAUAAGAAACUCUCAGAAUUUCCCCUCACCCUGUUGGAGCAUUUAACUUUCCACCCAUGAGAUCCCAAAAUGGCAAACGAAAAUGACUGCAGAGGAGCUUUUAGAUCAGCAAUGCUCAGAUGAUGCUGAGAGGCCUCUUCUAUGGUAAUCCCACUGCUACAUUUUCCAGUCUCACCUUGGAAACCUUCUACCAAUCGAGGAAACCUCCAGUUUAUCCAGAAGUGAUCCCCAGGACUGCAGUGUGCCCUGGGUGGGCACAGACACGAGAAGUUUCCUUUGACUCCAGUCAAGCUGAAGAAAGCUGUGGGGUGGUGGGCAUGUCACUUGCAUUGUCCCACCCAGAGCAGUCACCUCCUGUCCAAGCUAUCCAGUGAUUUGGCAGAGCAAACCAAAAAAAGGCAAGGCAAGGCUGUAACUGUUUUCUCUCAUCACCCUAAUAAUCCUUUGUGCUCUGAGGAAAUUGCCACAAACAUACUUGCUAUGCCUUCAAGUCCCAUGUCCAAAUUUAUGGAGAUGUUGAAGAAGAGACAUGUGGAAGAGAAUACUGUGCUCUAUCACAGGAGACAACUAGUGGUGACCCUCAGCUGAGAUGGCAAUUGCCACAUGGCCCAGCUAUCCCUUCCUACAGUUUCAAUACUCCUGUCUGAGAUGUCUUGGUGAAGUGCCUGAAGUUACAAAGGAGGGAGAGAGAACAUCAAUCUGCAUCUGCUCUCUCCUGCAGAGAGUUGUCAUCAGUCAUCUUGUCUGGACUAGCAGAAAUCCCCGAGGAAGAUUUCAAUCCAUUUGCAAGCACUGCUGUGAGAAGAAAAGAUACCACAAGUUUUCAAAAUGACCUCCAGCACAUCUAGAGUUAAAAGCUCCUUACAAGUAUUGUCUCUGCAUCAUAAGGUUCUUUGUUCAGAAAUUUAUCACUGGGUCACACAAAAAAACACCACUCUGGACCAAAAGUCAGUCUACAAGAGUUCAGCUAAGAAACACUAAUUCCUGGAGCUUUGACCCCUUCUUUUUUCUAGCACUGAAAUAGAAAAGAUUUUAUGUGUUCUACUGUUUCCAGGCAUGAGUAUACUCCUAUUACUCAGAAAACUACUGUAAUUUUAAAACAAAAAAUUGCCAGCUUAUAGAUGAGAUUGCUGACAAUGUUUGAAGCAUCAGGUGAUCUCUGUCAUGCUGGUGGCCAGAGAUGGCUCAGCUGUCAUUCAGAAGCACACACACUCUCCUAGGACAUCUCCUUGCUUUUAUUUAGGCUAACCUCCCUCUAGCACCCACAGGGGUGUGUUAUAGCAUGGGUCACUAGGGAAGGUAUCACUCAGUUUCUGUCCCUCCCCACAGCAAGCAACACCCACAGUUUGCAGUGGGGAAAUGUGCUCUAUACGGACACACAAGCACUGGAACAGCCCAGAGGGGAAUCUAGGACUGUUGCUGUGUUUUAUUCUGACUUGCCAUGGAGCUGCACCAGACUCUACUGCUUGCAGAGUUUUCCAGCAAGGCCACUCCUCAGGGGAGCUGAAAGGGCAUUGGAUUGGGGCAGGUGAGAGCUGGCCCAGCUUCAUUCAAAACCAUUUCUAGCAAGGGUUUUGUACUGACAUACAAGGGGUUCACUGCGCUCUGCUUUGAGUGCUGAAGUUAAAUUAAAAAAAAAAUUAAGUCCAAAUUAAAAA